rnacentral:rRNA from 1 species
GACGAACGCUGGCGGCGUGCCUAAUACAUGCAAGUUGAGCGCUGAAGGUUGGUACUUGUACCAACUGGAUGAGCAGCGAACGGGUGAGUAACGCGUGGGGAAUCUGCCUUUGAGCGGGGGACAACAUUUGGAAACGAAUGCUAAUACCGCAUAAAACCUUUAAACACAAUUUUUAGGUUUAAAAAAUGCAAUUCAAUCACUCAAAGAUGAUCCCGCGUUGUAUUAGCUAGUUGGUGAGGUAAAGGCUCACCAAGGCGAUGAUACAUAGCCGACCUGAGAGGGUGAUCGGCCACAUUGGGACUGAGACACGGCCCAAACUCCUACGGGAGGCAGCAGUAGGGAAUCUUCGGCAAUGGACGAAAGUCUGACCGAGCAACGCCGCGUGAGUGAAGAAGGUUUUCGGAUCGUAAAACUCUGUUGGUAGAGAAGAACGUUGGUGAGAGUGGAAAGCUCAUCAAGUGACGGUAACUACCCAGAAAGGGACGGCUAACUACGUG